UACGGGGGGGGCAAGCGUUACUCGGAAUUACUGGGCGUAAAGCGUGCGUAGGUGGUGAGUUAAGUCUGUCGUGAAAGCCCCGGGCUCAACCUGGGAAUGGCGAUGGAUACUGGCUCGCUAGAGUGCGGUAGAGGAGAGUGGAAUUCCCGGUGUAGCAGUGAAAUGCGUAGAGAUCGGGAGGAACAUCAGUUGCGAAGGCGGCUCUCUGGACCAGCACUGACGCUCAUGCACGAAGCGUGGGGAGC
rnacentral:rRNA from 1 species